CCUACGGGGGGCUGCAGUGGGGAAUAUUGGACAAUGGGGGGAACCCUGAUCCAGCCAUGCCGCGUGUGUGAAGAAGGCCCUCGGGUUGUAAAGCACUUUCAGUGAGGAAGAACGCCUGGUGGUUAAUACCCAUCAGGAAAGACAUCACUCACAGAAGAAGCACCGGCUAACUCCGUGCACAGCAGCCGCGGUAAUACGGAGGGUGCGAGCGUUAAUCGGAAUUACUGGGCGUAAAGCGCGCGUAGGUGGCUUGAUAAGCCGGUUGUGAAAGCCCCGGGCUCAACCUGGGAACGGCAUCCGGAACUGUCACGCUAGAGUGCAGGAGAGGAAGGUAGAAUUCCCGGUGUAGCGGUGAAAUGCGUAGAGAUAGGGAGGAAUACCAGUGGCGAAGGCGGCAUUCUGGACUGACACUGACACUGAGGUGCGAAAGCGUGGGUAGCAAACAGGAUUAGAUACCCUUGUAGUC
rnacentral:rRNA from 1 species